rnacentral:tRNA from 1 species
GAGGGCAUAGCUCAGUGGUAGAGCUCAUGCUUAGCAUGCAUGAGGUCCCAAGUUCAAUCCCCAGUACCACCA